rnacentral:rRNA from 1 species
GAUGAACGCUGGCGGCGUGCCUAAUACAUGCCAGUCGAGCGAACGGACGAGAAGCUUGCUUCUCUGAUGUUAGCGGCGGAUGGGUGAGUAACACGUGGAUAACCUACCUAUAAGACUGGGAUAACUUCGGGAAACCGGAGCUAAUACCGGAUAAUAUUUUGAACCGCAUGGUUCAAAAGUGAAAGACGGUCUUGCUGUCACUUAUAGAUGGAUCCGCGCUGCAUUAGCUAGUUGGUAAGGUAACGGCUUACCAAGGCAACGAUGCAUAGCCGACCUGAGAGGGUGAUCGGCCACACUGGAACUGAGACACGGUCCAGACUCCUACGGGAGGCAGCAGUAGGGAAUCUUCCGCAAUGGGCGAAAGCCUGACGGAGCAACGCCGCGUGAGUGAUGAAGGUCUUCGGAUCGUAAAACUCUGUUAUUAGGGAAGAACAUAUGUGUAAGUAACUGUGCACAUCUUGACGGUACCUAAUCAGAAAGCCACGGCUAACUACGUG